rnacentral:rRNA from 1 species
UACGUAGGGUGCAAGCGUUGUCCGGAAUUAUUGGGCGUAAAGAGCUCGUAGGCGGUUAGUCGCGUCUGCUGUGAAAACUCGGGGCUUAACUCCGGGCCUGCAGUGGGUACGGGCUGACUAGAGUGCGGUAGGGGGAGACUGGAAUUCCUGGUGUAGCGGUGAAAUGCGCAGAUAUCAGGAGGAACACCGGUGGCGAAGGCGGGUCUCUGGGCCGUAACUGACGCUGAGGAGCGAAAGCGUGGGGAGCAAACAGG